UUUAUGUUGAAACCCUAACCCCCAAUAGCUCAGAAUGUGACUCUAUUUGAAGAUGGUGUCUUUAAAGAUGUAAUAAAGGCAAAAUGAAGUCACAAUGUGGGUUCUAAUCCUCUUUGACAAGUGUCCUUAUAAGAGGAGGUGAACAGGACACUGACACAUCCAGAGGGAAGACCAGGUGUGGACACGGGAAGACAGCUAUGGGCAAAGCAAGGAGAGAGGCUUCCAGAGAAACCAGCCCAGCCCACUACUUUCAUCUCACACUCUGACCUCCAGAACUGUGAGAAAAUAAACAUCCACUCUGAAUGCCCACUUCCUCCUCGUACCCCUGGAAAACUCUUACUUACCCUUCAAGUCCAGGGGUGAGCUCCCAGAUGGGGCUAUCUCUCCACCUUUGGAUCAGGACUACACCAGCCUGUGUGGAGUGAGUGAAGGACAAUUGGUGUAGGGACCAGUUCCAAAGCCACUCAGGCCCUGCCUUGGAGGGAGCCCGGACCAAGAAUUUGACCCUGUGAAGAGCAGGGCCUCCGAGGGGAGGGGAUGGCCUAAGCACUGACCACACUGCGGACAACGCCUUCUGCACUGAGCACUGGUACAGCCUGUGUCUUGAGGUUCCCCUGAAGCCUCGCGCGGUCUUAGUUUUAGGACCACGGUUGACUGCAGGCAACUGAAACCUCAGAAAGUGAAAUCUCAGAGAAGGGAAAUGGAGGAAUUGCAGUUUCAAAUGAAGUUAAAUUUUGAUCACCUGUAUUUCACUUGAAAGACAACUUCCAUCGGGAAUUGCUGUGGUUGGUGCAGUAACAGCAGCAGACUGGGUCUAAGUCACUGUUGGAAAAGAGUCAUCCUGGAACCCACUGGACUAUGAUGUAACCGCAGGAUAAACUGUUGUGAGGUUCAGCCUUAAUAGCAGCCAUUGUCCAUUUACUUAACUUCCCAGGUUAAAAGAAUCUCCCUUUGGAACUGCCUUUGAAAUAUGUUUGGGAUCUGUUCAGUGCUCCCCAACCAUGUCCUUUGAAUACCGAUGAAUUGAUUCAAGUUGCUUAAACAGACAGACCCAAAGAGGAGCCAGGACAGCAUUAUACUACAGCCUGCAGUUGUGCGGGAUAACAUGGCGUACCUGGCAGAGAGCUUGGGACUCAGAACUUUGCUGGCAGUGAAUAAAUCAAGAAUGGCUCCAUGAUGCUUUUAUCGCCCUGUCACUCCAAGCCCGGACACCAGUGCCCCUUCCUUGGAGCUCCAGUUAAAAGUCACCUCCUCACCCCUACUGUUCAGCUGGUGGGGCCCAUCCUUCCCAGCACUUCCUUUGACUUUCUUCCUUUGUCUUCCUUUGUCUGCCUUCUCUCAUAUCUGCUAGGACACAAUGGCUGAGCCCCUGUCUCGUAAGAAGAUUGUCAGAGGUCGGAGCAGGCUUGGUUCCUUUCAUUCACAGCCCCAGACAUGGUCAGAGCCUUUCAAAUCAUAU